rnacentral:rRNA from 1 species
UCCAGACUCCUACGGGAGGCAGCAGUGGGGAAUAUUGCACAAUGGGGGAAACCCUGAUGCAGCGACGCCGCGUGAGCGAUGAAGUAUUUCGGUAUGUAAAGCUCUAUCAGCAGGGAAGAAAAUGACGGUACCUGACUAAGAAGCCCCGGCUAACUACGUGCCAGCAGCCGCGGUAAUACGUAGGGGGCAAGCGUUAUCCGGAUUUACUGGGUGUAAAGGGAGCGUAGACGGCAUGGCAAGUCAGAUGUGAAAGCCCGGGGCUCAACCCCGGGACUGCAUUUGAAACUGUCAGGCUGGAGUGCAGGAGAGGUAAGUGGAAUUCCUAGUGUAGCGGUGAAAUGCGUAGAUAUUAGGAGGAACACCAGUGGCGAAGGCGGCCUGCUGGACUGUGACUGACGUUGAGGCCCGAAGGCGUGGGGAGCAAACAGGAUUAGAUACCCGGGUA